GACGAACGCUGGCGGCGUGCUUAACACAUGCAAGUCGUACGGUAAGGCCCUUUCGGGGGUACACGAGUGGCGAACGGGUGAGUAACACGUGAGUAACCUGCCCACAACUUUGGGAUAACGCUAGGAAACUGGUGCUAAUACUGGAUAUGUGCUCCUGCUGCAUGGUGGGGGUUGGAAAGCUCCGGCGGUUGUGGAUGGACUCGCGGCCUAUCAGCUUGUUGGUGGGGUAGUGGCCUACCAAGGCGGCGACGGGUAGCCGGCCUGCGAGGGUGACCGGCCACAUUGGGACUGAGAUACGGCCCAGACUCCUACGGGAGGCAGCAGUGGGGAAUAUUGCACAAUGGGCGCGAGCCUGAUGCAGCAACGCCGCGUGCGGGAUGACGGCCUUCGGGUUGUAAACCGCUUUCAGCAGGGACGAAGCUUUUUGUGACGGUACCUGCAGAAGAAGCACCGGCUAACUACGUG
rnacentral:rRNA from 1 species